rnacentral:piRNA from 1 species
UGAACCCAGGUCCUCUGGAAGAG